CUUUGAACUUCCAAGUUCAAAUCACUUAUACAUAUUACCUUAUUCUUACAUUUUCGUAGUUUACCCUUAACUAGGGGUCACAUAGAAACCCUUAAGUAGCAAAAAUAAGAAGAAAUAUAUGCAUAUACAAAAAGAUGAUACCAAUAUUCAGAUUCAUAUCUCUCGUUUCAAAUUACUUACUGAAGUUUGCCUGUACAAGAUUGCCAAAGGAAUCAUAUUGUUACUACCUCCGGAAUGGAGUUCCCAACUGAAUUGGAUGACGACGUAGACCCCCCCCCCCCCGGCGAAUUGCUUGUCACACAAUUUUGGCUUUGGUGGUUUUAGGGAAAAUGAAAAAGGUAACCAAGUAAUCCUGCAGCCAAUGCCGCAACUCGAUUGUGGUACUAUGGACGGUGGAACGGAAGACAAAAUUGAAGUGAUUAUGGCUCCGGCUCUAGAGGCCAACUAACUUGGCUCAAGAUCAUGUUGUGGCCACUACCAGUCGCGAUUGUAAUUGGCAUAUGGGCAUAUUACAUGCAUGACGAGGAGAGUAUCGCAAAGGGAUCCGACGGUUUCUUCAAAUCUUUGUAUCUCACUGUCCCGAAUACUGGUGUUUUGAUGUUGAUACAUUACUUUUUUUUUUUUUUUUUUUU
rnacentral:sRNA from 1 species